rnacentral:rRNA from 1 species
UACAGAGGUCCCAAGCGUUGUUCGGAUUCACUGGGCGUAAAGGGUGCGUAGGCGGUCGGGUAAGUCUGAUGUGAAAUCUCCAAGCCUAACUUGGAAACUGCAUUGGAUACUAUCCGGCUAGAGGAAUGGAGGGGAGACUGGAAUACUUGGUGUAGCAGUGAAAUGCGUAGAUAUCAAGUGGAACACCAGUGGCUAAGGCGAUUCUCUGGACAUUUCCUGACGCUGAGGCACGAAAGCCAGGGGAGCAAACGGG